ACGGGAGGCAGCAGUGAGGAAUAUUGGUCAAUGGGCGAGAGCCUGAACCAGCCAAGUAGCGUGAAGGAUGACUGCCCUACGGGUUGUAAACUUCUUUUAUACGGGAAUAAAAAAGGCCACGCGUGGCCUCUUGCAUGUACCGUAUGAAUAAGCAUCGGCUAAUUCCGUGCCAGCAGCCGCGGUAAUACGGAAGAUGCGAGCGUUAUCCGGAUUUAUUGGGUUUAAAGGGUGCGUAGGCGGGACGUUAAGUCAGUGGUAAAAGCGUGUGGCUCAACCAUACCAAGCCAUUGAAACUGUCGUUCUUGAGUGUAAACGAGGUAGGCGGAAUGUGACGUGUAGCGGUGAAAUGCUUAGAUAUGUCACAGAACCCCGAUUGCGAAGGCAGCUUACCAGCAUACAACUGACGCUGAGGCACGAAAGCGUGGGUAUCAAACAGGAUUAGAUACCCUGGUA
rnacentral:rRNA from 1 species